GUGACCUCUCCGGUCUGCCUCCGGAGGCGGUUGCCUCCCACGAUUCUUUGGCCCCUUCGCCUAUUUAUCGCAGAGCAUUAACCGGCGGAGAAGGAGAAGAAGCCAUCAAGAAACAAGAAACGGAGAGAGAGAUAGAGAGAGACUACGGUGGUAAUGGAAGCAGCCAAAGUAACUACAAGUGUAAUUGCAGGCAAUGUUUUUAUCUUCUGAUGAGUCAAAAAUUAAAGAACUGGUGCGAGUGUCCUACGAUAAAAGAAAAUCUUUUUACAUGGAUCCAGAGGUCCAAGGCAUAUUGACUGCUGCACAGAAGUUGUGGCCUCACAUCCAUAUAUCUGAUUCCUCGGUAAUGGCAGAUAGGGCUGUUAAAAUGGCAGAAGCUGGAUGCAAAUAUAUUGCAGUACUUGGUGUGGACUUCAUGUCUGAAAAUGUUGGUGCAAUACUUGAUCAGGCUGAUUUUAAGAAGGUAUGUGGUUUUCAUUUGUUUUUAUCAAUGAACAUUUUACGUACUCAUUCUUCUUGUUUUGUGUUCCCUUAAGAUAUUUACAAAAGUACAAGUUACAA